rnacentral:tRNA from 1 species
GGGCUCGUGGUCUAUCGGCAUGACAUUUCGUUCGCAACGAAAAGGCAGCGGGUUCAAUUCCCGCCGAGUCCA